AUGGUAAAUAUUUCAAUAUGUUACAUUGUCAAUGGAUAUCGCUUUCCUACCCCCUGCUCCGGGUUUGGUGAAUGGACCAACCAGACCCUCAAGACUACCUUGGGCAAGUCCCGUGAUUGGUACCAGGAAGGAUGGGAGAACAACCUGAAGGUGAGACUGGACAAGGCGCAGGAGGAGAGCUACAGGAACAGAAUCGAGAAGGGGACCAAGUGCUACGACAUCUGGGCAAAUGACUUGGUUUGGAAGAAGGACGAAAGGAAGGCGAGACCUGGGGAAAACCUCGCUGCCCUUUCGCUCCUAGCUGUGGUCACCAUCCGUUAAAGUGAAUAUUUAAAAUCUCAACAAUUUGCAUACAAAACAACCUGAAACUACUUUUAGUUUCCCUAACGCUGAUACCUUCCAAAAGUGUUGAAGUACAUAUCUCCCAUUUCUAACACUGCACCAAUCCAUGACAUUUUCUCUGUUUGCUUGUUUAUGUGUCUGUCUCCUACCCUGUUCCCUUUAACUCUGCUCCUGUUCUCAAGAGAACAGCAGUGCCUGGACUUUGCAGUCCCCCUUCCGAGACUGGCUGCCUGUUGAGAACAAGGGACAGGCAGAACCUCCCACCCACACAGCAACCACCUCCUCUAUAUUCCACAAACCAGAAUUCAGUAUUUUAGUCUAUGAUUGCCAUGUGAGUGUACAGAAAAUCAGUGGAAAAAAAUUCAUGACACAACUGUACCAAAAACGAUUCAAGUUUAUGUAUGAAAAUAUAUUGACAGGUUGGGUUUCACAAGGUGUUCAUUAUUGGAAGCUGCAAGGUAUCCUUUGAUGGCAUUUAUUUGUUCCAGGUUAUUCAUUGUUGUAUCCUUGGACCUACACUAGAUUAUAUACAUAUAUAUAUAUUCAACCACAAGGGUGUAUUAAUGAGAGAGGGGGGGGGGGGGGGGGGGGGGGGGGGGUGAAUCAUAAUAGAGGACUACUGAAAGGAUAUUAUUUCAGUGUAGAUGAGGGCAGGUUAAAAGAAAAACAUUACAGCCAGACAAGCCAGUGACUGAAUCAAAAGGAUUUACAUCUGAAUGGAGUGGACAUCAGCUUACUUUGUGAUCUGUAAGGUAAGUAACUUUAAUGUGUCAAGCAGAAUACACGUUUUCUUUUCCAUUUCCCGAAACGUAGCAACGUUUAAGACAUGGAUUUCAUGUUGUAAUGUUGACGAGGUACCCCAAAAAGUAGUUUGAAUGUACGUUUCCAUGUUACAAGCUAAACCAAGCUUGUUUAAACAGAGAAAUUGUUGCAGAAAUCAGCCUUGUUUGCAUAGCGACGAAGAAAAGAACACAAUGUAGGCUGUGAUCUCAAAUUCUAAUCGAUAUAGCAAUGAACGCUAAUACUUGUUCGAAUCCCAUUGUGACACAGGGAGACAGUAUUUGGCAUGACAGGGCCCCAUUGAAUGUAUUAGUCUCUCACUCAUAUAGCAAAAUGUGUACAAUUACUGGAAUUUGGCUUUAAAACCGCAAAAAUUUCUCUACACCUUAUGGCAAAAUGAUAACACAAUAUGGCAGUCCCCGCACCACAAUGUUCAUUCUGUUGGGCAUGCACAAAUAGGUUGUUGAUUGCGCUCACAGAAAAGUGUGUAACUUUCCCUUAAUCAGAUUCUAGUUUCCAAAUUCAUUUAGUGCAACGAUUUCAUUAAUGUAUCAGUUUUGAUCAGAGUAUUCCACAAGACGAGCCAAGCUGAUUCAAAUUGUUCAGCACCGCAUGAUGUUUCACAGUUCAGCACCAGGAUGUGGAUAGUACACAUGACAUCAUUGCCAUUACCUCACGCUUGGUUUUGCAGGGGUCCUCCAAUGUGCAAAGAAAACAACCCAAAUGAAUUUCCCAAAAGGAAUCUGGUACAUAUGUUUGUGUGAAGUAACUAUUUGUUCAUUCAUUCUCAAAGGGUAUAUGGUAACAAGGCUUGUUGAUGCUCACAUACACAUGCUCUGCUAAGACCCGCUCAAGCCAGUGUCAAAAAGCCUCAACUUUUUUCCAAAAGCAAAUUCCAUCAUCUCAUACAUGCCAAUCAGCCAACAGGCUUACAUAGGCUUUUAGCAAUUAUUGUUGGGGUUCUUAUAAUGGGGUAGACUCUGGCAAAGAGAGAGAGAGGCACUAUCGAUGCUACUGGUCGAUGUUUGAAAAGAAUACAGGAGCAGGGUAGGAAUGAGCUUAACAAAAAUGGCUAUUCCUGCAGGUGAUAUCCAGUCAAAAGUUUGGACACACCUACUCAUUCCAGGGUUUUUCUUUAUUCUCUACUAUUUUCUACAUUGUAGAAUAAUGACGACAUCAAAACUAUGACAUAACACAUAUGGAAUCAUGUAGUAACCAGAAAAGUGUUAAACAAAUCAAAAUCUAUGUUAUAUUUGAGAUUCUUCAAAGUAGCCACCCUUUGCCUUGAUGACAGCUUUGCACACUCUUGGCAUUCUCUUAUCCAGAUUCAUGAGGUUGUGUUGUGGCAAGGUAGGGGUGGUAUAAAGUAGAUAGCCCUGUUUGGUAAAAGACCAAGUCCAUUUAUUUGACAAGAACAGCUCAAAUAAGCAAAGAGAAAUGACAGUCCAUCAUUGCUUUAAGACAUGAAGGUCAGUCAAUGCGGAACAUUUCAAGAACUUUGAAAGUUUCUUCAAUUGCAGUCGCAAAAACCAUCAAGCGCUAUGAUGAAACUGGCUCUCCCGAGGACCGCCACAGGAAAGGAAGACCCAGAGUUACCUCUGCUGCAGAGGAUAAGUUCAUUAGAGUUACCAGCCUCAGAAAUUGCAGCCCAAAUAAAUGCUUCACAGAGUUGAAGUAACAGACACAUCUCAACAUCAACUGUUCAGAGGAGACUGCGUGAAUCAGGCCUUCAUGUCAAACUGCUGCAAAGAAACCACUCCUAAAGGACACCGAUAAGAACAAGAGACUUGCUUGGGCCAAGAAACACGAGCAAUGGACAUUAGACCGGUGGAAAUCUGUCCUUUGGUCUGAUUAGUGUGUCUUUGUGAGAUGCAGAGUAGGUGAACGAAUGAUCUCCGCAUGUGUGGUUCCCACCGUGAAGCAUGGAGUAGGAGGUGUGAUGGUGCUUUGCUGGUAACACUGUCUGUGUUUUAUUUAGAAUUCAAGGCACGCUUAACCAGCAUGGCUACCACAGCAUUCUGCAGCGAUACACCAUCCCAUCUGGUUUGCGCUUAGUGGGACUAUCAUUUGUUUUUCAACAGGACAACGACCCAACAUACCUCCAGGCUGUUUGACCAAUAAGGUAGAGUGAUGUAGUGUUGCAUCAGACCGCCCUGGCCUCCACAAUCACCCAACCUCAACCCAAUUGAGAUGGUUUGGGAUGAGUUGGACCGCAGAGUUAAGGAAAAGCAGCAAACAAGUGCUCAACAUAUGUGGGAAUUCCUUUAAGAAUGUUGGAAAAGCAUACCAGGUGAAGCUGGUUGAGAGAAGGGUGUACAAAGCUGUCAUCAAGUUUAAAGGUGGCUACUUUGAAGAAUCUAACAUACAUUUGGUUUCGUGUAACACUUUUUUUGGUUACCUCAUGAUUCCAUAUGUGUUAUUUCACAGUUUUGAGGUCUUCACUAUUAUUCUACAAAGAAAAUAGUAAAAAUAAAGAAAAAGCCUUGAAUGAGUAGGUGUGUCCAAACUUUUGACUGGUACUGUAUAUAUGUAUAUAUGUUAACUUUUUAUAGAUUUGUUACAUUUUCACAAUAGAGCGCCUGUAGCACAGGCAAAGAUAUUUUUCCAGCACCCCAAUUGAAAAUAACAUUCAUUAAAAAUACCCUGCACCAACAAACUUCUUCCCGUGGCUAUACGUUUUGGUUUCUGCCCUAACACAACACAGCUGAUUCAAAUGAUAAAAG
ensembl:lncRNA